GGCUGCCAUGGGACCGGGUUCUUACUCACCCAGCCCCCCACGCAUAGCGCCCUGGAACCCAUGUGAUCACUGUUUGUUGAAUGACGACUGAAUAUUGAAAUGGAAAACACUGUGUUCCAGACACCUGAGUUAGAAGCCUAGCCCUGCCCCUCGGUUGUUCUGUAACCUGGUGCGUGUUACUUAAUCUCUCGGAACGAGGAAAACACCACCAGGGUACACAGACUGGCACUGUGUCCCCAACGCUCCUGCUCACCCACGAACCUGAGAGAUAAAAUGACUUUGUAGGGGGUCUCCAUACCCACGACACUCCCAAAGAGAGAGGGCGCAGACAAGGCCUGUUUAUUUCACUCGUGUGCGCCCUCAGGAGAGGCCCAGGGAUGUUGGCACAGGUGCAUUGUGGGCCCCGAAAUAAUCAAAUUGCAGAAGGAGAGAGAGGGGGAGAGAGCGGGAAGGGUAAUUGAAUAUCGGAGCGGAAGCUAUUCUCAAGUCACCCAUUUCAUGGUUCUUUCUCCUGUUUAUGUUUUCUAAGAGAUCUCCAAAAUAAAAUAGUUCUAUUAUUUUAUGACUCAUAGAUAUACGUUAUAGUGAUAACAUAUUACAGCUACGGCAACGAUGCUUAUGGAAUGGCCGCUCCGUGCCGCGCCGUAGAACUCUGCAAGGUGAAUCUCUCUCUCUCUCUCGCCUCACAGCUCGGGAAGCCUCGGCUCUGAGAGGCCAGACUCCAGCCACGCCAUCCAGACCACGGGGCCACGGGGCCACGGGGCCAGCUGAGCCCGCAGUCACUCUCCUCCUCUGCUCCUCCGCCUCUAAAAGGUCCUUUUCAGACGCUCAGGCACUCGCAGGCGCCCCUCUUUCAUCAUGGUUAGGCGCCACAUGCUUUUCAUCUCCAAGUCUGGCUACUGCAGAUGCAGAAUGAAAAACGAGCCAAUAACACAGCAAACCCGGGCAACUCGGCACGAAAGGCAAUAACCGUGGUGAGGGGCCAGGCGGCGAUUCCAGCCAGACAGAUGAGCGGGCGUCACGGGCUCCAGAUGCACAGAAGACCGGGUUUCCACCACCCUGAGCCAAGGAGGCCUCUACCAUGGAGAGAGGCCAUCAGAGACCAGUGUCCGGCAGCGCCCUGCCUGGCCCCAGAGCCUGGGGCAAAAGGGAACGUCAGGACCACCGAC
rnacentral:lncRNA from 10 species